AACCACCGUUCUUAAAUUAAGAAACUAUUAUCAUUCUUUACAUUGACUAUAUAGAAAGAGGAGGUACAGUAAAUGCACCCAUAUACACCUCAACCCAGGCCCUUUGCCUGGUCUGUAUUGUGAAUUGGGGGACAAAA